rnacentral:rRNA from 1 species
UACGUAGGGUGCAAGCGUUAAUCGGAAUUACUGGGCGUAAAGCGUGCGCAGGCGGUUUUGUAAGACUGUCGUGAAAGCCCCAGGCUCAACCUGGGAAGUGCACUCGAAACUGCCUAGCUUGAGUAUCGGAGAGGUUGGUGGAAUUCUCGGUGUAGAGGUGAAAUUCGUAGAUAUCAAGCGGAACACCGGUGGCGAAGGCGGCAUCCUGGACUGGUACUGACGCUCAUGAGCGAA